CUACGGGCCGCUCCAGUGGGGAAUAUUGGACAAUGGAGGCAACUCUGAUCCAGCCAUGCCGCGUGAGUGAUGAAGGCCUUAGGGUUGUAAAGCUCUUUCAGAUGUGACGAUGAUGACGGUAACAUCAGAAAAAGCCCCGGCUAACUUCGUGCCAGCAGCCGCGGUAAUACGAAGGGGGCUAGCGUUGUUCGGAAUUACUGGGCGUAAAGCGCGCGUAGGCGGCUUGAUCAGUCAGAGGUGAAAUCCCAGGGCUCAACCCUGGAACUGCCUUUGAUACUGUCAAGCUAGAGCUCGGAAGAGGGUGGCGGAAUAUCCAGUGUAGAGGUGAAAUUCGUAGAUAUUGGAUAGAACACCAGUGGCGAAGGCGGCCACCUGGUCCGUAGCUGACGCUGAGGUGCGAAAGCGUGGGGAGCAAACAGGAUUAGAUACCCCUGUAGUC
rnacentral:rRNA from 1 species